rnacentral:rRNA from 1 species
AUGUAUAGAGCGUUAAUCCAGUCUGAUGUGCCAGUUGAUAGUAACAAGAAGAUCUGGAAGAUGAAGAUACCUCUUAAGAAUAAAAUCUUUGCAUGGUAUCUUCAUCGCAGAGUCAUUCUUACUAAAGACAACCUUAUUAAGGGAAAUUGGCAUGGCAGUCCGCAAUGUGUCUUUUGUCACCAUGAUGAGACAGUAAAACAUUUGUUCUUCCAAUGCAAAUUUGCUCGUUCUAUAUAG